CCGCUGGAACUUUCUUCCGUCUGUGAAGAAGACGCUUUAAAAACUGAUGGCAACUGUGUAGAGCAACAUUUAGUCGAACUGGCUCUGUAAUAAUAGAGUUUUCGUCUCCUGUUGCUUCAGCAAUGUUCCGACGCAUCAAGGCGUUUUUCUCCCGGUGUGUGGGAAGGGAGAAAGACGAAGGUCUGCGACUGGACAAGACCUUGGUCGCUGCUCGAGGUAGUUUUGAGGAGCGUCCGUUUACACUUGACGUGUUCUUUAUCGAGCUGCUGCAGAGACGGCUGCAGGAAGAACAUAAAAUCCGUGCUGCUCCGGAGCGUCAGUUUACGCUUGACGCUUUUUUUGAGGAGCUACUGCAGAGACGUCUGCAGUGAGAAGAGGAAAGUCGUACUGCUACGGUCACUCCAGUAGCCUCCCCGCCAACCCACGGAGGCUCAAUACUCCACAAGACGGAGCUCUUCAUAGCCACCAAAUUCUAUGCUGCCUGCUGGGGGCACAGC